rnacentral:rRNA from 2 species
CGCGGGAAGCAAAUCGAUCCCCUUCGGGGGUGACGUUUGUGGAACGAGCGGCGGACGGGUGAGUAACACGUGGGCAACCUGCCUGUAAGAUUGGGAUAACUCGCGGAAACGUGAGCUAAUACCGAAUGACACUUUUCAUCGCCUGAUGGGAAGUUAAAAGGCGGCAUUUGCUGUCACUUACAGAUGGGCCCGCGGCGCAUUAGCUAGUUGGUGAGAUAAAAGCUCACCAAGGCAACGAUGCGUAGCCGACCUGAGAGGGUGAUCGGCCACACUGGGACUGAGACACGGCCCAGACUCCUACGGGAGGCAGCAGUAGGGAAUCUUCCGCAAUGGACGAAAGUCUGACGGAGCAACGCCGCGUGAGUGAUGAAGGUUUUCGGAUCGUAAAACUCUGUUGUUAGGGAAGAACAAGUAUUGUUCGAAUAGGACAGUAC